UACGUAGGGGGCAAGCGUUGUCCGGAUUUAUUGGGCGUAAAGAGCGUGUAGGCGGUUUGGUAGGUCCGCUGUGAAAACUCGAGGCUCAACCUCGAGACGCCGGUGGAAACCAUCAGGCUAGAGUCCGGAAGAGGAGAGUGAAAUUCCUGGUGUAGCGGUGAAAUGCGCAGAUAUCAGGAAGAACACCCGUGGCUAAGGCGGCUCUCUAGUACGGUACUGACGCUGAGACGCGAAAGCGUGGGGAGCGAACAGG
rnacentral:rRNA from 1 species